rnacentral:rRNA from 1 species
CUAAGCCAUGCGAGUCAUUGUAGCAAUACAAGGCAGACGGCUCAGUAACGCGUAGUCAACCUAACCUAUGGACGGGAAUAACCUCGGGAAACUGAGAAUAAUGCCCGAUAGAACACUAUAUCUGGAAUGGUUUGUGUUCCAAAUGAUUUAUCGCCGUAGGAUGGGACUGCGGCCUAUCAGUUUGUUGGUGAGGUAAUGGCCCACCAAGACUAUUACAGGUACGGGCUCUGAGAGGAGUAGCCCGGAGAUGGGUACUGAGACACGGACCCAGGCCCUAUGGGGCGCAGCAGGCGAGAAAACUUUGCAAUGUGCGAAAGCACGACAAGGUUAAUCUGAGUGAUUUGUGCUAAACGAAUCUUUUGUUAGUCCUAGAAACACUAACGAAUAAGGGGUGGGCAAGUUCUGGUGUCAGCCGCCGCGGUAAAACCAGCACCUCAAGUGGUCAGGAUGAUUAUUGGGCCUAAAGCAUCCGUAGCCGGCUCUGUAAGUUUUCGGUUAAAUCUGUACGCUCAACGUACAGGCUGCCGGGAAUACUGCAGAGCUAGGGAGUGGGAGAGGUAGACGGUACUCGGUAGGAAGGGGUAAAAUCCUUUGAUCUAUUGAUGACCACCUGUGGCGAAGGCGGUCUACCAGAACACGUCCGACGGUGAGGGAUGAAAGCUGGGGGAGCAAACCGGAUUAGAUACCCGGGUAGUCCCAGCUGUAAACUAUGCAAACUCAGUGAUGCAUUGGCUUGUGGCCAAUGCAGUGCUGCAGGGAAGCCGUUAAGUUUGCCGCCUGGGAAGUACGUACGCAAGUAUGAAACUUAAAGGAAUUGGCGGGGGAGCACCACAAGGGGUGAAGCCUGCGGUUCAAUUGGAGUCAACGCCAGAAAUCUUACCCGGAGAGACAGCAGAAUGAAGGUCAAGCUGAAGACUUUACCAGACAAGCUGAGAGGAGGUGCAUGGCC